rnacentral:rRNA from 1 species
UACGUAGGGUGCGAGCGUUAAUCGGAAUUACUGGGCGUAAAGCGUGCGCAGGCGGUUGGCAAAGUCAGCUGUGAAAGCCCACGGCUCAACCGUGGAAGGUCAUUGGAAACUGAAAGGCUUGAGUACAGAAGAGGAAAGCGGAAUUCCACGUGUAGCGGUGAAAUGCGUAGAGAUGUGGAGGAACACCAGUGGCGAAAGCGGUUUUCUAGCUUACACCUGACGCUGAGGCGCAAAAGCAAGGGGAGCAAACAGG